AACGGUUACUCUGUAAUCGGUAUGAAUACCAGAUAUCACCAACUUUGGUAAAUCAGCAAUUAAUUAACUUAGUAAAUAAACCUUUGUAUAGUAAAAGUUGAUAAAGACUAUGUCGCUACAAGAUGAGCUUUCGUAGGAUUAGGUAGUUGGUGGGGUAAAAGCCUACCAAGCCGAAGAUCCUUAGUUGAUCUGAGAGGAUGGUCAGCCACACUGGGACUGAGACACGGCCCAGACUCCAUUAGGAGGCAGCAGUGAGGAAUAUUGGACAAUGGGGGAAACCCUGAUCCAGCAAUACUACGUGAGUGAUGAAGACUAUUUGGUCGUAAAGCUCUUUCAUCGGGGAGGAUUAUGACAGUACUCGAAGAAGAAGUCCCGGCAAACUCCGUGCCAGCAGCCGCGGUAAUACGGGGGGGACAAGUGUUAUUCGGAAUGACUGGGCGUAAAGAGUCUGUAGGCGGUUUUUUAAGUUGAAUGCUAAAACUUGGAUCUCAAUUCCAAGAAGAUGUUCAAAACUGAUUAACUAGAGAUUGAGAGGGGACAGUAGAAUUUCUAAUGGAGAGAUAAAAUUCAUAGAUAUUAGAAGGAAUACCAGAGGCGAAGGCGACUGUCUGGCUCAAAACUGACGCUGAGAGACGAAAGCAUGGGUAGCGAAUGGGAUUAGAUACCCCAGUAGUCCAUAGCUGUAAACGAUGAGUGCUCGUCCUUAGAUACACUAUAUUUAGGGGCUUAGCUAACGCGUUAAGCACUCCGCCUGGGGAGUACAGUCGCAAGACUGAAACUCAAAGGAAUUGACGGGGGCCCACACAAGCGGUGGAGCAUGUGGUUUAAUUCGACAAUACGCGCAGAACCUUACCAGCCCUUGCAUAUAAAUGGAUCUUCUUGAAAAUUAAGAUCUUUCAUGUUUAUACAGGCGCUGCAUGGCUGUCGUCAGCUCGUGUCGUGAGAUGUUGGGUUAAGUCCUUUAACGAGCGCAACCCCCAUUAUUUGUUGCUAUCUUGAAAAAGAGCACUCUAAUAAUACUGCCGGUGAUAAGCCGGAGGAAGGUGGGGAUGACGUCAAGUCCUCAUGGCCCUUAUGGGCUGGGCUACACACGUGCUACAAUGGCAUUGACAAUGGGAAGCGAUAGUGCAAACUGGAGCAAAUCCUUAAACAAUGUCUCAGUUCGGAUUGUAGGCUGCAACUCGCCUAUAUGAAGUUGGAAUCGCUAGUAAUCGUAGAACAGCAUGCUACGGUGAAUACGUACCUGGGCCUUGUACAUAUCGCCCGUCACAUUAUGGGAAUCUUUCUUAUCUGAUACAUAUAUUCUAACCAUAUAACUAUACUAUUAUACGUUAGGGUCUAACGAAAGAGCGAAUCCUGUUAGUGGAAUGAGGUAUG
rnacentral:rRNA from 1 species